rnacentral:rRNA from 1 species
ACACAGGUUGUAAAGGACUUUGAUGACGCCGUCAAACAUUUGGUUGAUCUUUUGCGUACAAGCAACGACCGUUCUACAGAAGGCAAACUCGAAGUAUUCGUCUGUUAUGGCUGGUUUGAGGGCGUGGGAGCAUCUGCUGUCCUUAGAGCUACAGCCAAACUCCUAAACUCUACAACAUGUGAUGAUUUCAACACGAGAAAGCAUUUUGACAGAGUCGUCUACGUGGACUGCUCAAAUUGUAUAAACAGAAGGGCCAUGCAGAGGGCAAUCGCAAAGGAGUUGAACCUUCACCAUGCAAUGCCCAUAUUUGAUAAGCAAGAUGAACAUGAUGAUUUCAGAGGGGUACACAACAGCAAUAGAAAAGAGGUGCCAGGGAUCGGAAGUUUGAUUACUAAGUCACUAAGAGAUGAAAGAUUUUUGAUGAUUUUUUAUUAUGAAGUAGUUGAAGAUAUUGAUCUGAUAGAAUGUGGCAUUCCUGUUUUCGGUAAAGGUAUAUUGUUAUGGACCAAUUGCAGAAGAUUUCUGGUCCACACGAGAGAAAGCAAGUUGAUGUCCCCUUCUGCUAGUAAUGAUAUUUUUAUCAGUUUCUAUCAGAAUGAAGGCAUAAAACAAAUACAUAAUAUAUUGCAUGAAGAAGCUGUCGGAGUGAUUGGUGGCACUGGUAUGGAUGGCAUCAACCCAGAAAUAGUUUUGGAUUGCUUCCUGUACUCAAUCUUCUUGACAGCACAGUUACCUAAAAACUCUAUUGGUGUUGACUAUGGUUGGGCUACUCAUGCUUGCAACUACUGGAUAUGUGAUGGAAUCCUUGAGGAUAGAGCAUGGGAGAUCGGUAAUGCAUUGUAUGGAGUGAUACCGCAAUUUGACUAUUAUUCAGAAAAAAUAUGGGGCUAUUUUUCAGAUGAAACAAGACGUUUGGCAAUGGCAUCAGAUUAUUAUGGACGAAAAAAAUCUUAUGAAGGUUGGUGUUCAGUCACCUCUAACAAACCAACAGCAGAUGAUAUCUCUUACGUUCCUGGAAGUGCAUCAUCAUAUUUCCUAACAUGCCAGGGAGAUGAUCCAGUAUAUAUACGUAAUGAUUUGUUUCAACUGGUCAGCAGCAACCUUCGCAUGCUAAAACUCUGCAACUGUGGCUUUGAUUUUGCAUCCCCUCCUUUUGAGUGCUGCCAAAACCUAAGAUUCCUUUGGCUUGACCAUUGUGCAAACACAGGGAAGGAGCAAAGUGGAGGGCCAAAAUUUUCAAACCUGUUGGUGUUUGAUUUACGUUUCACAGAUUUUGUUUUGUUGCCUCAGAUGAUUGAGCUUAUGACCAAUCUCAGGGAGCUGAAUACAAAGGGAGUCUUAUGGAAGGCUGUAAGUCAUGCAUGGAAGAAGCUACAGAAGCUUCAUAAGCUCCGGUUAAGCGAAUCUUCAGAUGUGGUUACAGUGGACAUUUGUUCUUUUGCGGAUAUGAUGAAUCUGGAGCUCCUUGACUUGUCUGGCAACACUCACAUGGAAUCAUUGCCGACAUUGUCGUCCGCAAGAAGUCUGAAGAUGCUUGUUAUUGAUGGUUGUUCCAGCUUGGAGCAUGUUGCACUGGAAGGAGCUCCUCCACUGCUUGAAAGUUUUAGCUUUGAUGGUUACGGCCCAGCAGAGAAUUGGACUCACUCCAUACAUCUGCCACGAAAGGAAUUGCGCCUCAAGUCUCGUAUGGCUCCAGUUGAAAUAGUCAAGGUGACUAAGAUCUCCCUCCAUGGCUGUGGUCGAUUGCAAAACAUAUUCUUGCGUGCAUUGCCCUGUCUGGAGGAACUGGACCUCUCUGGUACAGCCAUUAAAAUACUUGACCUCCGAGCAAUGGAUGUCCCGAAACUCAAGAAGUUAUUUCUACUGGGUUGUGAGCAGCUUCGUAGCCUAAUCUGGCAUGGCCCACCUAGAUUGAAAGUGCUCCAUGUGGACACACAGAGGAAGAUUAGAUCAAUGAUCAGUUGUGGAGAACAGGGAUCCUUCAACAUUGAGGUAUGUAUUGCUUUUACGGAUGGGAGGUUCAUUUGGUCAUCCUCAAAGGGACUCUUUUUCCAGACACUAAAUAUUCUCUCCAAGGUAUACCUUCUUAUCUCUUGUAUGAGCCAUAGUGAAGCCAACAUCACCAAAAGUAUCAAGGAGAUUGGCUCUAGCAAACAGGGUUUGGUUCCAACAAGGUCGUUAUUACCGUAUAAUGAUAUUGCUCUGGCUAAUGAUGUUACAUGCUCGGUCUUGGUGUGGAACUGUCGACAACUCCAAACUUUGAAUGUGCAUAUCGAGAUUGGUAAAGGAAGCUAUAAUUUAGAUAGUAUGCAAGACGAAGGGGAUUUCAGAAGCUUCACAGGAUAUGUUGAAUCAUUGCAUGUGCAUGAUAAUUGCUCCAUCACUGCUAUCCCCCCAACGAACUGGGGGAGACUAGAAUGGUGUCAUGUUGAGAGGUGCCCCAAGCUAAACUAUGUGUUUUCACGUCGGAAGGGAACAUACAGCUUUCAAUGUAUAAAGAUAUUUUCAGCUUCUGAUCUCCUAGUGGCCUAUUGCAUCUGGGGAGGCAUCAAUAAAACUUGGGGUGACUUUUAUUACAGUCAUCAGAGUCUCCAACAACUGCAACACAUAUACCUGUACAAUUGCCCAAGGCUGGUGCUCGUCCUCACCAUUUCCUUCACCUUGCCCAACUUGGAGACCCUCCAGAUUGCAUAUUGCAGUAGCCUUCGACAUGUUUUUCCAUUGGACGACAAGUACCCUACGGAAAUAGUAUCUGGUGUCACAUUCAAGAACCUGAAGGACAUCAAGCUACACCAUCUUCACAAGCUGGAGCAGAUAUGUGAGGCCAGAUUGACCGCACCUGCGCUGCAGACGGUCGGCAUCAGGGACUGCUGGGCUCUCAAGCGUCUGCCAGCUGUAGCGUGUGAUGGUCCUAAGCCGGUGGUGGACUGCGAGAAGGAUAUGUGGGACAAGCUCGAGUGGGAUGGCCUGGACGCUGGACAUCACCCGUCGCUCUUCGAAACGCGCCACUCCACUUAUCACAAGAAGACCCUCCCAAGGGGCUCCUAUCUAAGGUCCGUCGCAUGUUGA